GCGCGAGUGGCGAAAUGGCAGACGCGCUGGCUUCAGGUGCCAGUGUUCGUAAGGACGUGGGGGUUCAAGUCCCCCCUCGCGCACCA
rnacentral:tRNA from 2 species